GCUUCGAUUGGUCGACUUCAACAAGCUGCUUCCGGACACUAAAGCGUUGGGUGAGUUUUGUCGGAAAGUAACUUGUCAGCUGUUGCGCGUAUCUGCACUUUGAUAAUUUGCCCUUUCAUGGCGAAGAGGCACGCUGACAACACUUUAUUUUCCCAAUCACCCGCUAAGAAAAAAACCCGGUCUCUUUGUCGUGUUGUUGACCUACAGCUCGAGAGCAUGGCUGUGUACGGGGUCGUGAGCCCAUCCUGCACGCUAGCUUUGUUGAGUGAUCGUUGCAGAAAAAAACGACAUAGCUUAGGAAUUUCAGAUGUUCCACAAGAAGAAGCGCCUCUGCAUCUCAAGGCGACAAACCCAGACGCGCCCAAGGAGAGUACGUCUCAUACGCACACAUGCGGUCGUUAUCAUGAAUACCUGGACUCCACCACGGCCAGAAAACGACGCCGAGAAGAAUCUGUGGAAUUGGGGACUGCCGCUGCUAAGGUUUACGAUAAAACAGACGCCGAUAAUGAAGAUUGCACUUACAACUCAUUUCAAUACUGGAAGGUCCCUUUGCCUCAACUCGACCUUUCGCUGCUGGAGGAAACCACAGAACGGUGCCAAAUAAAACACAAUUCAAUUGUCAGAAACGCUUUGGAUGCAAUGGAGACUUGAAAUCCAACACUUAAGCGAGCAAACUUAAAGCACACAUUGUUGGAAAAAUAUGAAUAUAAUUGUCAAUGUCAAUUUCUUGUGACUUGAAACGCAAAGCGAGACAGAUAUUCUUUGACCUGGUGACCAACACUUUUUUUCCCUUCAAAAAGUUGUUUUAAUGGAAAGCCGUUUGAUCAUUUAUUCAAUAUCCUAUGCUCUGCCUUCACAAGCAAAACAGUUUAGUGCAUUAGUCAAACUUCUAUGUCUUACACAUAUGUUUUUACACCGCUGCCUUCUACUACUGAAUUACAUUUAUGUUUACUCGAAGGACAACUUUGGCAUAUUAGUAGAACAAGCACGUUACUCUAAUGUGGCAGAUUUGUCAUUGACACCUUUAUGGUGCUACAACUAACUAGUAGAAUUUUACAACGUCACUGAUACUGUAUUGGAAAAACAACUCUCAUAAUUUAGCCUCUUAAAAUAAACAACACAGCGACACUUGGCCUUCAGGUUCCUCUCCCAGCAUUAUAACAACUGAAUGGAAUAUUCGGGAAUGUGCUGUCCAAUAUAUCCUGUGUGCAUGACCUGAUUAGGCCUGCAAGGAUGAGAGGCAAAACAUCUAAGUCUGAGCAUCUAAGUCUCAGAAUCAUCCAGCUGUGAUUGAUUAAAUACAAUGAAAAUGAAAUGACUUGGACAAAGGAGAA